rnacentral:rRNA from 1 species
UGGCGGACGGGUGAGUAAUGUCUGGGAAACUGCCCGAUGGAGGGGGAUAACUACUGGAAACGGUAGCUAAUACCGCAUAACGUCGCAAGACCAAAGAGGGGGACCUUCGGGCCUCUUGCCAUCGGAUGUGCCCAGAUGGGAUUAGCUAGUAGGUGGGGUAACGGCUCACCUAGGCGACGAUCCCUAGCUGGUCUGAGAGGAUGACCAGCCACACUGGGACUGAGACACGGCCAG